GCAAGAAUAAGGAAAAAAGGACAAUUGGCGUUGGUUAAUUUUAACUGAAGAAUGUCAGCCAUGGUUUUUGUACAAAAAGCAUGGGCACAUAAAAUGAGUUAAACCCAAAUAAACCUGUUCUACUUUUAUUUGAUUUUUUCGUAUCUAUUGAUAUUUGCUUGUAUUUAUUUCCUGCAUGACUUCCUACUAAUGUUCCAAAGUACAACCUUUUUAAUGCUUUUUCAGUUGCUGUAUAAUUAGACUAUAUGUUUGGGCCUGCCCCAUUUCUGCAAAUUGCUAACCUGUACCUGCAUGUUUGACUGCACAUAUCACGUCCCAAAGGGCAGCCAUGAUAGUGUCACUUAUCACAACGAACUAUGUAUUCGUUAUUGCUGUUUGACUUGUAACGCUGGCUCCGUUAUCAUGUUGUUGGCAGAAUAUUUCAAACCAAAUCACUGUCAAAAUGUAAAUAAUAUUUUCUGCCAAAAGGAUGCAUUGACCUAGAUAAUACACACAUGCCUAUUUACAAUAUAUUGCAUAGCGUGGAGAAUCAAAUUACUAAUUUAAAAUUAUAAAUAUUCUAUCAUUAAAACAAAAGUCUGAGUAAUUAACAGAAGAGCAUGACGUUUGUGUGGACAGUGUCA